GGAGAGGUGGCAGAGUUGGUCGAUUGCGUCUGACUUGAAAUCAGAUGAGCCCGCAAGGGUUCCGGGGGUUCGAAUCCCUUCCUCUCCG
rnacentral:tRNA from 1 species